rnacentral:rRNA from 1 species
AGUGAGCGCUGGCGGUAGGCCUAACACAUGCAAGUCGAACGGCAGCACAGUAAGAGCUUGCUCUUACGGGUGGCGAGUGGCGGACGGGUGAGGAAUACAUCGGAAUCUACUUUUUCGUGGGGGAUAACGUAGGGAAACUUACGCUAAUACCGCAUACGACCUACGGGUGAAAGCAGGGGAUCUUCGGACCUUGCGCGAUUGAAUGAGCCGAUGUCGGAUUAGCUAGUUGGCGGGGUAAAGGCCCACCAAGGCGACGAUCCGUAGCUGGUCUGAGAGGAUAAUCAGCCACACUGGAACUGAGACACGGUCCAGACUCCUACGGGAGGCAGCAGUGGGGAAUAUUGGACAAUGGGCGCAAGCCUGAUCCAGCCAUACCGCGUGGGUGAAGAAGGCCUUCGGGUUGUAAAGCCCUUUUGUUGGGAAAGAAAAGCAGCAGGUUAAUACCCCGCUGUUCUGACGGUACCCAAAGAAUAAGCACCGGCUAACUUCGUG